rnacentral:rRNA from 1 species
GACGAACGCUGGCGGCGUGCUUAACACAUGCAAGUCGAACGGUGAAGGGGUCUGCUUUUGUGGGCCCUGGAUGAAUGGCGAACGGGUGAGUAACACGUGAGUAACCUGCCCCCUUCUUCUGGAUAACCGCAUGAAAGUGUGGCUAAUACGGGAUAUUCUGGGUCUGUCGCAUGAUGGGUCUGGGAAAGAUUGCGCCUUUGGGUGUUUUUGGUGGGGGAUGGGCUCGCGGCCUAUCAGCUUGUUGGUGGGGUGAUGGCCUACCAAGGCGGUGACGGGUAGCCGGCCUGAGAGGGUGGACGGUCACACUGGGACUGAGACACGGCCCAGACUCCUACGGGAGGCAGCAGUGGGGAAUAUUGCACAAUGGGCGCAAGCCUGAUGCAGCGACGCCGCGUGAGGGAUGGAGGCCUUCGGGUUGUAAACCUCUUUCGCCAGUGAAGCAGGCCUGCUCCUUGUGGGUGGGUUGACGGUAGCUGGAUAAGAAGCGCCGGCUAACUACGUG